rnacentral:rRNA from 1 species
GACGAACGCUGGCGGCGUGCCUAAUACAUGCAAGUAGAACGCUGAAGGAGGAGCUUGCUUCUCUGGAUGAGUUGCGAACGGGUGAGUAACGCGUAUGUAACCUGCCUGGUAGCGGGGGAUAACUAUUGGAAACGAUAGCUAAUACCGCAUAAGAUUAGAUGUUGCAUGACAUUUGCUUAAAAGUUGCAAUUUCUUCACUACCAGUUGGCCCUUUGUUGUAUUAGCUAGUUGGUGGGGUAACGGCUCACCAAGGCGACGAUACAUAGUCGACCUGAGAGGGUGAUCGGCCAAACUGGGAAUGAGACAAGGCACAGACUCCUACAGGAGGGAGCAGGAGGGGAACUUGGGCAAUGGAGGGAAGACUGAACGAGCAAAGCCGCGUGAGUGAAGAAGGUUUUCGGAUCGUAAAGCUCUGUUGUAAGGGAAGAAAGAGUGUGAGAGUGGAAAGUUCACACUGUGACGGUAUCUUACCAGAAAGGGACGGCUAACUACGUG